CAGAAAAUAAUUUAUUUAAAAUAUUAAUUUUGGAGAUUAAAUAUAGAAGUUAUUCUUUUUCUGA
rnacentral:tRNA from 1 species